GAUUGUUUGAUUGUCCAACAUUUCUCAUCCCUACCGCAACUUCCGAUCCGGUUUCUCUGUCAAUUCUCUUUGUUCGCCGCCGCCGCCAUUUUCGUCUUCCAUUCUUAGUUGUCUUCGUCGAAAUCCGUGCGACGCCCGCCCGCCCGCCCCCGUCGUCGUCUUUGCCGGUGAGAGCUUCACGUUAGAUUUCCGAUUGAAUGAACUGGAAUGUAUUCGUGUCGAGACUUUCUGGUUUGAAUGUUUAGGUUUUUUUUCGAUGAAACGGUAAGAAUGUUGAAGUUCCUGUCGAAGGUGAGGAUCGAAUUCAACGCACUGGACCCGCGAUUAGCGUCGUGUAUGGAGUUUCUGGCGCAGUGCAAUGCGCGCAAGGCCAAGGAAUCAAACCCUAGCUGCCAGAUUCAAGUCAAGCGCCGCACCGACGAUUUCCCGCCCAAGAUCACCGUCACGUUCGUCAAUGGGGUCGAGGAGAGUUUCGACGCGACCUCCACUGCGGCGCAGCAUAUCCGCCAAUUAAUUCUUCAGAAAGGUCAGAGUCUAGAGACUGAGCAAAUGUUCCGCGAAGCUGGUGAGAAGUGGCCCGUCGAUAUCCCCGAAGAAGAACUGCGGCAGCCAUUUACUGGAAUCAAGCCACGGAAAGCAGAGGAAAAGCCACAGUGAAUUUCAGUGGUGAAUUUCUGGAAUUUCGCAGCAGACUCGCAGGUUCUUCUUAACAUUUUCGAGAGCUGCUGAGAAUCAUGGCUAUCUACUUCUGUACAGGCUCUUCUUCAAUGGUGUAUUGUGACUUGAGCCUUUCCAGGAACUCUAGAGUUUCUCUGUAAGAGGGAUCAGCCUUGCUCAAUGGCUUGCAAGAAUUUACAUGAUCCGUGGAAUCUAAAGCCUGUUUAUGAAAUCACCAUUUCGAAAAAGGGGGCAACUUAGGAUUCAGCUUAACAAGCUUGCAAAGAGAUAAAUGAUCAUGGGAUUUAGCUAGUUUUAAUACUUACGACGAGCACACCAAAUCCGGGAUAUGCCGACUCCAUGGGAACAAUCUCCAUUCGAAAAGCCCAGCCUCCAUAGCCUUCAACAAUUGGAGUGACCUUCAUCUGCAGCCAAGAAUCAAUACAAUUUAGACUACUAUGGAUAAUAUGAAACAGAGGACAUUGAAGAAACUGAGGAAGAACAGUGAUUACCUCGCAGAAACUGAGGACAUCGACUGACUUUUUCUUGAAACGGUGGCGCAAGAAAUCAUUGAGCUCGACUAGCCUUGGUGACCCGCUCCUCAAUUCUCCUAUCUGGCCAAGAAAUGUCCAAUUAUCAUGAGUAUGAAGUUUAGUUAGAUGUAAUGAGAAAAUACUUGAGGAUAUAUAUAUAUAUAUGAGUGUCGAAAACUAACAGAGGGAGCAGGGCGCAACACAAGACCCAUUUUCCAGGGCAUAUCAGCAAGCUUGCUACCGAAAUGGGGACAACUAUAAAAAACCUGUAAUACAAACUACCAGUCAUGCCUACGCAUUAAAAAUAAAAAUUAUGGCGAGGAUAAAUUCCUGUAAAGAAGACAGCUUACAAUUCCAA